rnacentral:rRNA from 1 species
UGCAUGCCUGCAGGUCGACGAUUGCCUACGGGAGGCAGCAGUGGGGAAUUUUGGACAAUGGGGGCAACCCUGAUCCAGCCAUUCCGCGUGAGUGAAGAAGGCCUUCGGGUUGUAAAGCUCUUUCGGACGGAACGAAAUGGUUAGGUCGAAUAGACCUGACUGAUGACGGUACCGUAAGAAGAAGCACCGGCUAACUACGUGCCAGCAGCCGCGGUAAUACGUAGGGUGCGAGCGUUAAUCGGAAUUACUGGGCGUAAAGCGUGCGCAGGCGGCGGCACAAGUCAGGUGUGAAAUCCCCGGGCUUAACCUGGGAAUUGCGCUUGAAACUAGGUCGCUAGAGUGUGGCAGAGGGGGGUGGAAUUCCACGUGUAGCAGUGAAAUGCGUAGAGAUGUGGAGGAACACCGAUGGCGAAGGCAGCCCCCUGGGUCAACACUGACGCUCAGGCACGAAAGCGUGGGGAGCAAACAGGAUUAGAUACCCUGGUAGUCCACGCCCUAAACGAUGCGAACUAGGUGUUGGGGAAGGAGACUUCCUUAGUACGUUCGCC